GAACUGAAAAAGAACGAAUCACUCAAAUGAAUCAUAAUUCCCAUCACUAGCAGGAAGGGUGGGCGCUCGAGUGCCUUUCAGGCCCUACCUACUCCACAAAUGACUUUAACAUCGCGUGGUGAUAUAAAAUCAAUGCACGGCCACUUCCGCGUUUACACUCAGGGGGCGAAAACACCCGCUGCCCCAAGGGAAGCCAUUCAUCUCUACCUAGAGCUGUGAACAUGACAGAAGAAGAAUAUUUGUACUCGCUGCUUGCACAAAGUUUGCCGGAUUACAAUAAACGAUAUUCGUCAGCAUUGUGAGACUGCCAGCUGCCCCCCUGUCAAUUAAAAUGGAGAAGUACUUCAAACUACGUUUAAAAAUACAUGGACAGCUUGGAUGCUAUUGCUAUUAGCAGGUACCACGUAACGUUAAGGCUGGAUAACACUGAGUGACAUCAUCUUUACACGGAGUUUAUCAAAGAUUUUUAGCCCUUAAAUACCUUUACCUUUAAACAACAAAUUUGUAUGAAUCUGACCCCAGAUAUCAAUAACACAGUUCACGGUAAGACACAUCUGUCAUAUGGCUCUAAUAUUCAGGUUUGCUGUAAAGAACCAGACAUCGCUUGGCUCAUAAAAGCUCCCAGUCAGAAUCAGAUGACAGGAAAUCAGGCAGAGGACGACAUGUUUCAGAAUUAUGAUGAAGUCAGAGAAGACACUAAAUUUAGAAGCAGGACACACCAAAGGAUAGCUGUGACCUAAAGCUUCAAUUUAUUGUUUUAAUAAUUUUGUGAAGUUUUCCAAAGAUCACAGACAAAGUCGUACUGUUAACCACAAGAAAUAUGAGAAAUGGUUAAGAGCCGGGAUAACAUAAGAAGAACAGGGACAUCUUUUGAAAUAGUAGUGAUCAUUUUUACUGUGUAUUGUGAGAAUUUCAUAUAGUCCAUUCAUUUUAAUCAUUUUACUUUACAAUAUUCCAAUAUGAAACCUUAUUUAAAUCAAAAGCAUUUGUUUGACGUAUAUAAUAGUUUUUGUAUUUGCAUUUUACCAGACAAUUUCUCUGUAUCAGUUAUUAUAUACAAGUUUACAUUGAUACAUAAAUAAAUAGUUACACACAAAAAAGUACACACUAAGAACAUAUAAUGCAUUAUAUGCAUACAAGCACAUAUAAUGCAUGUUACGUACACAAACAAAUAUGUACAGUACAUUAAUGUCUAAGUAGAUAUUUACGUUAUUUUUAUUUACAUUACAAUUUGUACAAAUAAAACCAAAUUUAUGUAUCCGCAGUGUUACGUUUAUUCUUUAGCAUUAGCUAACGCUAGCGCUUUCACCAGUAGACCAUUUGAUCUUCAGUAGCGGACGUGCUGUGGCUCAAUCACAUCUGCACUCUUAACGUGAUGACAACAAACUGUAGUACCAGUUAAGGUUUAAAUCCUUAUGUGUAAUAAAGUAAAUCCAUGCUCGGAACAUUAUUAAAUCUCUGUGAAGCUUCAUAAAACAGGACACAGCCAUGCCUGAAGGAACCACAGUCACGUGUGUAUUUAAACGCUGCAGGUCAUGACUAAAUUAAAGUUUUGUAUUAUAGCACCGUUACGUCUUUAAUAUAUAGUAUUUUAACAAUACGAUGUAUUUCACUUAUCUAUAUUACACGUUAAUUCCCCCCAAAACGAGCGCUGGUAAAGCACAUUUGCUAUGGGUGAAUACAACCCGGAAGCUUUCCCGCCCCCUGAGAUUUUACCGGAAAUACGUAGGCAGCACUCCAUGCAUUGAGUGCAUUAGACAGCCUUUAUGAUGCCAAUGCUAAGCCAAUGGCUGUGGUUGAGGCGGAUGGGCACAGCAUGGGCUGCCAGAUGACCUUGUAACUGUCAGGCCCUCUUCUAGUUUGUUUUUUAGUUUGAUCUUUUUUUCUUUCCUUUUCCCCCAAACUCUUCUCCUGCCUGAUCCCUGAUGAAGCUACUCACAACGUUUAUCAACCUCACCUGUUCCUCAUUUUCUCUUCCCCUAUUUAUGCCAGUUCUUUUCCUUCACUCGGCGCGCAGAUGUAUUGUGUUGUCUUGUCUCAUCAGGAGUGUACUGAUGUGUUUCGUGUCUUCUCUAGACCCAGAACCCACAAGCUAGGACUUGAAUCCUGCACCUCUCAUCAGCGAGUUGUCAGCGAGAACCGGUUUGGACUUUCUCUUCCACUUGGCUGUUUUCUCUCUGCUCACUAGCAUUGCAGACGCCGGCGUGUGCCCAGCCAGCCUGUGUGGAUUAUCUUUGUGUGCCAGGAGUACCCCGUCACCUUUUUUUUCUUGUUUUUUUAUCACGUGUGAAUAAACUUUCUGUUAAGACAUUUUCCUCCAUCUGACUCCUUCUGUUUCAUGACAGUAAUAAUGCGACACACACCCAGGCCUGAUCAACCUGCGGUGGGCUUCCCUUGGCUGAGGGUGUCUUGUGAUGAAGGGCCGAAACACCCAAUGAGGCUGAGGAGCACAACUGACCAUGUGUCGCAUUGAUGGGAACCAGAGCACCUCACCAAAAGGAUAAUGGAUGUGAUGAAAGUGGGAUCGGACCGGACACACAACUCAUGAGAUGUCUCUCUGAUAAUAGCAAGGAAAAAUUGAGUGCGCUGCCCGGCAUCCAGCUGUCCCCAGGGCAGUGUCCUGCUAAACUCAGGAGAUUCGGUCACUUCGACUAGAUCGGUGGUUUUAUUCAGGUCCAACAAAACAGAGCGGGCCUUACAAGCCUGUUUCGAGUGCACCGAUUGGAGUGUUUUUGAAGCUGCUACCAGCGAUCUGGACGAGCUCACAGAGACUGUAACAUCAUACAUCAGUUUCUGUGAGGAUUUGUGCAUUCCUACCAGGACUUCCUUAAUAUACAACAAUGAUAAACCAUGGUUCUCAGUAAAACUCAGACAGAUUCGCCAAGCCAAGGAGGAUGCCUACAGAAAAGGGGACAAUGUCUUGUACAAGCAGGCUAGGAACACAUUGACAAAGGAGAUCAGAGUGGCUAAGAGAAACUACUCUAAAAAAGUUGGAAAACCGGUUUUCAGACAAUGACCCUGCGUCUGUGUGGAAAGGCCUUAAAGACAUCACCAACUACAAGCCACCAUCCCCCAAUUUUGCAGGCAAUCAACACCUGGUCAAUGAUCUGAAUGACUUUUACUGCAGAUUUAAAAUGCUAACUUUACACCUAACACCAACUCUGACAUUCUCUCUACACAACACCUAUCACCUUCAGUCACCCCUCCUCCUGCACUUCAGAUCAGUGAAGAGGAUGUGUGCCGAGUCUUUAGGAAACAAAAGACAAGAAAAGCACCAGGCCCAGAUGGUAUCUCCCCAGCCUGUCUUAAAAGCUGUGCUAUUCAACUGGCCUUCAUCUUCUCUCAGAUCUUCAACAGAUCACUGGAGCUGUGCACAGUUCCUUCCUGUUUCAAUCGCUCCACCAUAAUCCCCAUCCCAAAGAAACCCAAAAUCACAGGACUGAAUGUCUACAGACCCGUCGCUCUCACAUCUGUGGUCAUGAAGUCAUUCGAGAGACUGGUACUGGCUUAUCUGAAGGACAUCACAGAACCCUUACUGGACCCCCUGCAGUUUGCCUAAAGAGCAAACCGCUCUGUUGAGGAUGCAGUUAACAUGGGGCUGCAUUUUGUCCUGAAACAUCUGGAUAGACCAGGGACCUAUGUGAGGAUCCUGUUUGUGGACUUCAGCUCCGCUUUCAACACCAUCAUCCCAUCACUGCUCCAGACAAAAGUUAACCCAGCUAUCUGUUCCUGGCUCUAUCUGUCUUAUGUUUACAUUUACACAGUGUGUAUGGUAGUGCUGUAGUACUCGAGUCCGGACUCGAGACGUUUUUUUGUGAUCUCGGACUUGUCUUGGUCUCGUUGGUAUUUGCACUCGGACUUGUCUCGGACUUGGUCAUUGGUCUCGACUGAGUCCAGACAUAUUUGUGACCCUGGACAACAAAACCAGUCUUAUGGGUCAAAAACUCGAAAUUGAGAUUUUUACAUAAUCUGAAAGCUCAACAAAUAAACUUUCUAUAGAUAUAUGAGUUGUUAGAAUAGGACAAUAUCUGGCUGAGAUACAACCGUUUAAAACUCUGGAAUCUGAGAGUGCAAAAAAAUAAAAAUAUUGAGAAAAUUGGCUUUUGAAGUUGUUAAUCAGGGGCACUGUGGCAGACCAUCCACUCACAAAAAUAAAGUUUUUAUAUAUUUAAGGUAGGAAAUUUACAAAAUAUCUUCAUGGAACAUGAUCUUUACUUAAUAUCCUAAUGAUUUUUGACGUAAAAGAAAAAUAGAUAAUCUUGACCCACACAAUUGUAUUUUUGUCUUUUACUAAAAAUGUUCCCGUGCUACUUAAGACUGGUUUAGUGAUCCAGGGUCACAUAUAUAUUCUCCUUCAAAACAAAACAUUGAUAGCGCAUACUUCUUGCGAUCCGAAAACUGUUGCCGACUCUCGACUCUAGAACGAGAGCCGCGCGUUCAUAAGUUCUCUCUUCACACAGCAGUUCAGUGUGUGCUGUUGGUGUAACUAAAUAACUCCGGUAUAUUGGUUCAAGUCCUCGGUGUGCACGCCAGAAAGUGAAGAACUGAAUUAAUUUGUGGGUAAUAUUAAGUGUUUACGGGAGACGCUAAACGCGAACAAUUCAGGUGAACUGGUUCGACCGGUUCACUUAAAAGAAUGAACCGGUUCAAAUGAACGAUUCGUCCGCGUCCCGAACUGAACAACAUCAAUCAUUCAUCAGGCACGAUGUCAGCGAGCAGCGGCAUAAUAACAUUUGGUUUUACAAACCAUAAAGAAUUUAUCGACAGUGCGCUCAAAAGGAAACUUUUUGCAACAAAACUUUCUCCGAAACCUGUGGGACAACAUCCAAUUCUGUAAGAAACCUAAGGCAUCACAAAGAGAGGUGAGUUAAUGCCAUGUUUCAGAGUUAGCAUUGCAUUUGAAUAUUUUUAGAAAGUAGUUAUGAGUUUAGAAAGUAGGGCUUCAAGAUAAGAUUGAUCGUAUUUUUAUUGUCAUUUCGAUAUGAACAUGUUAUUUAAGUAUGGGCACUGAAACGUGCUUUUAAACGAGCCAUGGGGCCUCUGCUCUUUCUGGCAGCUCCUCUAUCGACCACGCACGAGCACGGGCAGGCGUGCACACGCACGCACACAAAGGUGUUAAAAAGUUCCUUAAAAAAGUGUGGGGGGGGGGUUUGGUUACUUUGGGGGACACCAAGUCAUAAGUUCAAGAAUGGGAACAUAUUCAAGUGUUUGCUGAUUAUUUGUUACAUUUUCUAUUGGCAGAAUAGGAUUGUUACACUUAAAUAAAAAAAAGUGAAGUUACACGUCGGCUUUGUGACUUUAGUGCUAUACCUAAAGUAAAUAAAAUUACCUUUUUUAAGGUAAAAUAAAAUUCUCUUUUUGAUCAAUACCAAUAAUGAUAAUUGAAGAUAUGCUAUCUCUUGCAUCACAAAAAUUCUCAAUAGUUAAGUAUGUGGUCUUGUCAUGAUUUUUUUCUGUCUCUGUCUUGACUUGUACUCGAACCUCUUUGGACUUGUCUUGGACUCGACAACGGUGGACUUGACUACAGCCUUGUGUAUGGAACCAAACUGAACAACUUCUGCUUUGAUAACACAUUUAAACGUGCAUAUGUCUCUCUCUUCUGUAAGCGCGGGGCAAGAAAGUCACAUGAAAAUGUACUUGCUAUUUCACACGUUUUGAAAAGCCUCACCAGCCCUGCCGUAAAAAUGACCAUGUUGCCAGAUCAUAUUGUUGAAAAGAACAGCAAACAAUGACCAGUGUUGGGCAAGUUACCUCCAAAAUGUAAUAAAUUAUAUAUUACUGUCAAUUAAAAGUAAUUAGUUGUAUUACAAUAUUACUGUCUUUGAAUUGUAAUGCGUUACACAACUUUUGCAUUACAUUGAUCAAAAUAACCACAAAAGUAUGACUACCCUGCUGAAAAAAAACACCACAGAAAUUCUAAUGGUUUCCAUUAAAACUCCAUUGGAAACCAUUAGGUUUUAUUAAAAACGAGUGCUG